rnacentral:rRNA from 1 species
UACGUAGGGGGCGAGCGUUGUCCGGAAUCAUUGGGCGUAAAGAGCGUGUAGGUGGCUUGGAAAGUCUUACGUGAAAGCCUGCGGCUCAACCGCAGAAGUGCGUAGGAAACUACCUCGCUAGAGUCCGGAAGAGGAGAGCGGAAUUCCUGGUGUAGCGGUGGAAUGCGUAGAUAUCAGGAGGAACACCGGUGGCGAAGGCGGUCAUCUGGCCCGGUACUGACGCUCAGGCACGAAAGUGUGGGUAGCAAACAGG